UGCUGGAGAGAAGCCGGGAGCGAACCUAGGCUGCAGUUUUUAGGUCUGUCAGUACUGCACUGCAAGAAUGGCAGAUUUUGGGAUCUCUGCUGGCCAGUUUGUGGCAGUGGUCUGGGAUAAGUCAUCCCCAGUGGAGGCUCUGAAAGGUCUGGUGGAUAAGCUUCAAGCGUUAACCGGCAAUGAGGGCCGCGUGUCUGUGGAAAACAUCAACCAGCUGUUGCAAUCUGCCCACAAAGAAUCCAGCUUUGACAUUAUUUUGUCGGGUUUAGUCCCAGGAAGCACCACUCUGCACAGUGCUGAGAUUUUGGCUGAAAUCGCCCGGAUCCUUCGGCCUGGUGGAUGUCUUUUUCUGAAAGAGCCAGUAGAGACAGCUGUAGAUAACAAUAGCAAAGUGAAGACAGCAUCUAAGUUGUGUUCAGCCCUGACUCUUUCUGGUCUUGUGGAAGUGAAAGAGCUGCAGCGGGAGCCCCUAACCCCUGAGGAAGUACAGUCUGUUCGAGAACACCUUGGUCAUGAAAGUGACAACCUGCUGUUUGUUCAGAUCACAGGCAAAAAACCAAACUUUGAAGUGGGUUCUUCUAGGCAGCUUAAGUUUUCCAUCACCAAGAAGUCUUCUCCUUCAGUGAAGCCUGCUGUGGACCCUGCUGCUGCCAAGCUGUGGACACUCUCAGCCAACGAUAUGGAGGACGACAGCAUGUGCAUCUUCUGUGGAUGUAGUUUAACUCACCAUUGGCCUCUUGAGCAUGUGGUCAGGUUGAACAUGAUGAUCAACCAAAAGGAGGACAGGGUGGACACCUUCUUUACCCUGGACUCCCAAGUUUCCUCUCGAAGCCUGCAGUCACUUUAGCUUUU
rnacentral:sRNA from 1 species